rnacentral:rRNA from 1 species
GACGAACGCUGGCGGCGUGCCUAAUACAUGCAAGUAGAACGCUGAAGGAGGAGCUUGCUUCUCCGGAUGAGUUGCGAACGGGUGAGUAACGCGUAGGUAACCUGCCUGGUAGCGGGGGAUAACUAUUGGAAACGAUAGCUAAUACCGCAUAACAGUAGAUAUUGCAUGAUAUCUGCUUGAAAGGUGCAAUUGCAUCACUACCAGAUGGACCUGCGUUGUAUUAGCUAGUUGGUGAGGUAACGGCUCACCAAGGCGACGAUACAUAGCCGACCUGAGAGGGUGAUCGGCCACACUGGGACUGAGACACGGCCCAGACUCCUACGGGAGGCAGCAGUAGGGAAUCUUCGGCAAUGGACGGAAGUCUGACCGAGCAACGCCGCGUGAGUGAAGAAGGUUUUCGGAUCGUAAAGCUCUGUUGUAAGAGAAGAACGAGUGUGAGAGUGGAAAGUUCACUCUGUGACGGUAUCUUACCAGAAAGGGACGGCUAACUACGUG